GCAUUGGUAGCUCAAUGGUAGAAUUCUUGCCUUCAGUGCAGGAGAUCUGGGUUCAGGCCCAGCCAGUGCA
rnacentral:tRNA from 1 species